rnacentral:rRNA from 1 species
AUUGAACGCUGGCGGCAUGCCUUACACAUGCAAGUCGAACGGCAGCACGGGAGCAAUCCUGGUGGCGAGUGGCGAACGGGUGAGUAAUAUAUCGGAACGUGCCCAGUCGUGGGGGAUAACGUAGCGAAAGCUACGCUAAUACCGCAUACGAUCGAUGGAUGAAAGCGGGGGAUCGCAAGACCUCGCGCGAUUGGAGCGGCCGAUAUCAGAUUAGGUAGUUGGUGAGGUAAAGGCUCACCAAGCCGACGAUCUGUAGCUGGUCUGAGAGGACGACCAGCCACACUGGGACUGAGACACGGCCCAGACUCCUACGGGAGGCAGCAGUGGGGAAUUUUGGACAAUGGGCGCAAGCCUGAUCCAGCAAUGCCGCGUGCAGGAUGAAGGCCUUCGGGUUGUAAACUGCUUUUGUACGGAACGAAACGGUGAGCUCUAAUACAGUUUGCUAAUGACGGUACCGUAAGAAUAAGCACCGGCUAACUACGUGCCAGCCGCCCCGUAA